AGUGGGGAAUAUUGGACAAUGGGCGAAAGCCUGAUCCAGCCAUGCCGCGUGUGUGAAGAAGGUCUUCGGAUUGUAAAGCACUUUAAGUUGGGAGGAAGGGCAGUAAGUUAAUACCUUGCUGUUUUGACGUUACCGACAGAAUAAGCACCGGCUAACUCUGUGCCAGCAGCCGCGGUAAUACGGAGGGUGCAAGCGUUAAUCGGAAUUACUGGGCGUAAAGCGUGCGCAGGCGGUUGUGCAAGA
rnacentral:rRNA from 1 species